UUUCCGUAGGUGAACCUGCGGAAGGAUCAUUACGGAGUGAGGGUCUCUCAGGCCCGACCUCUCACCCUGUGUUUUUGUGGCCUUGUUGCUUUGGCAGGUUGGCCUCGAUGAGAGGCCGCAGGAAGCGCACCGCUUUGGGCCCUUGCCCGCAAGUAGCCCCCUUAAAUUCUUAAUAAACCUGUCGUCUGAGUCUGGAUAUAAUAAAAAAAACUUUCAACAACGGAUCUCUUGGUUCUG
rnacentral:misc_RNA from 1 species